GCCUGGAUACUUCAGUUGGUUAGAGCAUAGUGCUCAUAACCCCAAGGUUGUGGGUUCAAUCCCCAUAUGGGACA